UACGGAGGGGGCAAGCGUUAUUCGGAAUUAUUGGGCGUAAAGGGCGCGUAGGCGGCUAGAUGUGUCAAAGGUGAAAUCCCUCGGCUCAACUGAGGAACUGCCUUUGAAACUGUCGGGCUAGAGUCCGGAAGAGGCGAGUGGAAUUCCUGGUGUAGCGGUGAAAUGCGCAGAUAUCAGGAGGAACACCGAUGGCGAAGGCAGCUCGCUGGGACGGUACUGACGCUGAGGCGCGAAAGCGUGGGGAGCAAACAGG
rnacentral:rRNA from 1 species